AUCAACCGAGAUUCCCCCAGUAGCGGCGAGCGAACGGGGAGCAGCCCGGAGUCUGAAUCAGCUUGUGUGUUAGUGGAAGCGUCUGGAAAGUCGCAGGGUACAGGGUGAUACUCCCGUACACUAAAACGCACAGGUUGUGAACUCGAAGAGUAGGGCGGGACACGUGGUAUCCUGUCUGAAUAUGGGGGGACCAUCCUCCAAGGCUAAAUACUCCUGACUGACCGAUAGUGAACCAGUACCGUGAGGGAAAGGCGA
rnacentral:rRNA from 1 species